rnacentral:rRNA from 1 species
UACGAAGGGGACUAGCGUUGUUCGGAAUCACUGGGCGUAAAGCGCACGUAGGCGGCCGAAUAAGUCGGGUGUGAAAGCCCAGGGCUCAACCCUGGAAGUGCACUCGAAACUGCUCGGCUUGAAUAUGGAAGAGGGUCGCGGAAUUCCCGGUGUAGAGGUGAAAUUCGUAGAUAUCGGGAGGAACACCAGUGGCGAAGGCGGCGACCUGGGCCAAUAUUGACGCUGAGGUGCGAAAGCGUGGGGAGCAAACAGG